UGAUAAUCUGUGCCGAGACAACCAUCUGU
rnacentral:piRNA from 1 species